UUGGCCUCUUCAACUGCAGUAUGUAUGUAUGUAUGCACGUAUCCACACAGGUACCACAGUUGGCCUGCAGUUUGGAUGCGACCAGAACCGGCUAACCGACUUGGCCACCAGAACUGCAGUAUGUAUGUUUGCACCCAGCUAACUAACUUGGCCUCUUGAACUGCUGUAUGUAUGUAUGUAUGUAUGUAUGUAUGUUUGCACCCAGCUAACUAACUUGGCCUCUUGAACUGCAGUGUGUCUGCGUGCGUGCGUGCGUGUGUGUGUAUGUAUGUUUGUGUGUGUGUGUGUGCGUGUGUGUGUAUGUGUGUUUAUGUGUGUGUGUAUGUUUAUGUAUGUGUGUGUAUGUAUGUGUGUGUAUGUUUGUGUAUGUGUGUUUAUGUAUGUGUGUGUGUAUGUAUGUGUAUGUUUUUGUGUGUGUAUGUAUGUGCGUGCGUAUGUAUGUUUAUGCGUAUGUAUGUUUAUGCGUGCGUGUGUGUGUAUGUAUGUAUGUAUAUGUUUAUGUGUGUGUGUGUAUGUAUGUUUAUGUUAUGUGUGUGUGUGUGUGUGUGUGUUUGUGUUUGUGUGUGUAUGUGUGUUUGUGUGUGUAUGUGUAUGUUUGUAUGUGUGUGUAUGUGUGUGUAUGUGUGUGUUUGUGUGUUUGUUUUACAGGUACCACAGUUGGCCUGCGACCAGAACUGGCUAACCGACUUGGCCACCAGAACUGCAGUAUGUAUGUCUGCACCCAGCUAACUAACUUGGCCUCUUCAACUGCAGUAUGUAUGUAUGCACGUAUCCACACAGGUACCACAGUUGGCCUGCAGUUUGGAUGCGACCAGAACCGGCUAACCGACUUGGCCACCAGAACUGCAGUAUGUAUGUAUGUAUGUUUGCACGUAUCCACACAGGUACCACAGUUGGCCUGUUGAACUGCAGUGUGGAUGCAACCAGAACCAGCUAACUCACCUGUCCUGUUGAACUGCAGUUUGGAUGCGACCAGAACCGGCUAACCGACUUGGCCACCAGAACUGCAGUAUGUACCUUUUAAAGACGCGCAAGGAUGGAUAUCUUCAUGUGGAGUUGUGUUUUUAAUCAUCCAUAUUCAUUCAACCACUUAUUUGUUCUUAUCCUUAAGGUAAGAGGUAAGGUAAGGUAAGCCUUUUUACUGGGUAAAAGCACAGACUUUGAAAACUUGCCAUGGGGAUAAACGUUGUCACACAAGUUAACCACUGUAAAAAAACAAAAAAGGCAAACUAUUUAAACGUAAGGUCACACAAGUGUCAAAAGAAUUUAAACACACUCACUGCGCAGUUUGUGUAAAAGGGGAAAAAAUUCUUGUGUAUGGUGUUUUCAAAAAGCAAAACAGAAACUUGUCACAAAUGUAUGAAAUAACUUCUUAACAAGAGCUCUUGUGUGUGUCAAAAUCAAAACAAAAAUCAAAAUGUGCAAACUUCACAAAAGCAAAAGGUGCAAAACAUUGUUGGGACAAGUGUUAAAAGGUUGGUCACACAAGUUAACCACUGUAAAACUGGAACAAAAUGUGUAUACUGUGUCUGAAGGUUUAAAAAAAAUAAAGAGGUCUUGUGUGUGUGUGUCAUAAUCAAAGCACUUGUGUGACAAAUCUAAAAAUAACACUAACUCAAAGGUUUUUUUUUCCAGGAAACACGGUAAAACAAAGGGUCACAAAAAACUGAAUAACGACAGCUCUUGUGUUUGCCAUGGUGUCAAAAACUGCAAACUUGGCAAAAAAAUGUGCAAAAUGUUGUGACAAGUGUGAUUUUUUUUUUUGAAGGUUUAAAAAAAAAAAACAAGAGGUCUUGUGUGUGUCAUAAUCAAAGCACUUGUGUGACAAAUCUAAAAAUAACACUAACUCAAAGGUUUUUUUUUCCAGGAAACACGGUAAAACAAAGGGUCACAAAAAAUUGAAUAACGACAGCUCUUGUGUUUGCCAUGGUGUCAAAAACUGCAAACUUGACCAAAAAAAAAGCAAAAAAAUUGCAAAAUGUUGUGACAAGUGUGAUUUUUUUUUGAAGGUUUAAAAAAAAAAAAAAAAACAAGAGGUCUUGUGUGUGUCAUAAUCAAAGCACUUGUGUGACAAAUCUAAAAAUAACACUAACUCAAAGUUUUUUUUUCCAGGAAACACGGUAAAACAAAGGGUCACAAAAAACUGAAUAACGACAGCUCUUGUGUUUGCCAUGGUGUCAAACUGCAAACUUGGCAAAAAAUGUGCAAAAUGUUGUGACAAGUGUGAUGAUGGUUUUUUUUGCACGUUUAAAAAAAAAAAAAAAAAAACAAAAGGGUGUGUGUGUGUCAUAAUCAAAGCACUAACUUUAAAAACACUUGUGACAAAUCUAAAAAUAACACUAACUCAAUCACCAAAGUUUUUUCCCCGCAGGAAAAAUGGUGAAACAAAGGGCACACAAAAAACUGAAUAACAGCGCUUGUGUUUGCCAUGGUGUCAAAAAGUGCAAACUUGACCAAAAAAAAGCAAAAAAUUUGCAAAUUGUUGUGACAAGUGUGAUUUUUUUUUUUUAAGGUUUAAAAAAAAUAAA